UGGGGAAUAUUGCACAAUGGGGGAAACCCUGAUGCAGCGACGCCGCGUGAGCGAAGAAGGUUUUCGAAUCGUAAAGCUCUGUCCUAUGAGAAGAUAAUGACGGUAUCAUAGGAGGAAGCCCCGGCUAAAUACGUGCCAGCAGCCGCGGUAAUACGUAUGGGGCGAGCGUUGUCCGGAAUUAUUGGGCGUAAAGGGUACGUAGGCGGUCUAUUAAGUCAGGUGUGAAAGCGUGAGGCUUAACCUCAUUAAGCACUUGAAACUGAUAGACUUGAGUGAAGGAGAGGAAAGUGGAAUUCCUAGUGUAGCGGUGAAAUGCGUAGAUAUUAGGAGGAAUACCGGUGGCGAAGGCGACUUUCUGGACGAAAACUGACGUUGAGGCUCGAAGGCGUGGGGAGCAAACAGG
rnacentral:rRNA from 1 species